UCGUAACAAGGUUUCCGUAGGUGAACCUGCGGAAGGAUCAUUACUGAUUUGCUUAAUUGCACCACAUGUGUUUUUUAUUGAACAAAUUUCUUUGGUGGCGGGAGCAAUCCUACCGCCAGAGGUUAUAACUARACCAAACUUUUUAUUUACAGUCAAACUUGAUUUAUUAUUACAAUAGUCAAAACUUUCAACAACGGAUCUCUUGGUUCUCGCAUCGAUGAAGAACGCAGCGAAAUGCGAUACGUAAUAUGAAUUGCAGAUAUUCGUGAAUCAUCGAAUCUUUGAACGCACAUUGCGCCCUUUGGUAUUCCAAAGGGCAUGCCUGUUUGAGCGUCAUUUCUCCCUCAAACCCCCGGGUUUGGUGUUGAGCAAUACGCUAGGUUUGUUUGAAAGAAUUUACSKGGAAAMUUAWUUUAAACGAAUUAAGGUUAUYCCAAAACGCUUAUUUUGCUAGUGGCCACCACAAUUUAUUUCAUAACUUUGACCUCAAAUCAGGUAGGACUACCCGCUGAACUUAAGCAUAUCAAUAA
rnacentral:misc_RNA from 1 species